rnacentral:lncRNA from 1 species
UAUUUGUGUCUCAAAGCUUAUUAGAAGCCCUCAUUCCAGAAUUUCACUAAGUUUUUAAGGACUGUGGUUGUACUUGGAACUAAGAUAUUUCUUAUUUUCUGGGGUCUGCUAAAAAAUUAUAUAGUUAAAAAUAAUAAUAUUAUUUCUAUAAUGUAGAUUGCCCAUAUGAAAGUACUGACUUCAAAACAUUUAGUUACAUGCAAGCACUUAACUAAAAAUAAACAGCAACUUACUAUUUGACUAUGAAAGUUAUUCAUUUUUCAAUAAAGGGUGAUUUUAACUUUUCAAAGAUUUCCUAACUUUUCUUUUCACUUUUUAAGCACUAUAUCCUUCUUGACAGUUUUCAAAUGAAAUACUGAGAAAAAAAAAUGACUAAUGAAAUUAGGAUAUCCCAAUUACCUUGUAACUUUUCCUUUUAAUCACUUAAAUGCAAAUCAAAUGGUUUUUAGAAAGAGUAGUAACACUCUGCCAAAAUGUAAUGGUCUAUAAGCAUCGAUUAAAUCUCUUUUUGUGCCUCAUAUUUAAUUUUUUUACUUUGACACCGUAUCCUCACUGGGAUUACUCAUGGGAUCAUAGCUAUCUAUAUUUUGCAUUUAGAUCUGUCAUUUAAAAACACUGCUCCUGCUUUAACUUAUACAGCCAAUGAAAACCCUUGAGUCCUAACAUUCUAGAAUACAUAUUAUUUGGGAAUCAAAACAAAAAUACACAGGUUGAAGGAACUACUAGUGUCAGAAUUAAGGAAGUAUUUUUGCUUGUGACACUUCCCUACUAGAGUUAUUAUUUGCUUUAGUCUGCUCACACAUCAUUAGUUAUUGUGAAAUGUAGAAAUUCCAGGGAUAGAAGGAAGUGCAGUGGGUAGAGAAGAGGGAGACAGACACUAAAAUGCACAGUGAAACCUGCAAAGCUUGGGAACAAAGAGCAAAAGCUUUCUCUCACUCCUGUAACAGACAUGUUGAGUUCUGUGACAACGAAGUAAGAAAUCAUGGUAGGUCCAAAUGUUCAAUUUUCAACCAAGAAUUUGGUUGUCGAGACCUUACCAAUUUAACCUGCUGGUAAGAAAUGUGAUGUCACUCUGAAUUGAGGCAGAGUAAGUAUACGUUAAUGUGAAGGUAAGUAGGUUGACAUGCUGUCAUGGAAAGUUGUACUUUUCUCCAGGCUUGCUAAAGGUCAGAGACAGAAAACAUGUGUUAUAUUCUUUACCCAAGCACACAGCAAAUCCAAGAAACUGUGUACCAAAGAUACAGUACAGUUUAAAAAUACAAAUUGUUUCAAUAAGAAUUAAUGAAAAUUGAAAAUACUUUAAAUGGUCUAUAAUAGGAAAUUGCUACUUCUGGUAGAUUGAGUCAAUGCAGUUGUAAAAUUUCAUAAUUAGGGAAAAAACAGAUACAAAAAUUCAUAAAAUAAUAAGUAAAUAAGCUUAGAACCAAGGCUAUAUUUAAGCAAUUAAGAUUGAUAAGGUCUAGAUGGGAAUAAAAACAAAACACUUUGUAUGUUAGUGGAAUUAGCAGGACUUUCACCCUAAAUUUCUUUUAUGUAUUUUUUACUGUUUACACAAAGUUUUGUGCAACAAAAUAAAAUAAGGAUAGUACAGGGAAAGUGUCUUGGGAAUAAAAACAAAACAGUUUGUGUGUUAGUGGAAUUAGCAGGACUUUCACCCUAAAUUUCUUUUAUGUAUUUUUUACUGUUUACACAAAGUUUUGUGCAACAAAAUAAAAUAAGGAUAGUACAGGGAAAGUGUCUCAUUUUUGAUCAAUUAUAAAGCUAGUAAAAGAAGGCUAGAAAAUUAUAAGCAUAUAAACUAAACACAUUCUUACUAUAUAUAUAGUCCAGAAAUAUCAUUUCUAGAUAUAUACCCAAUAUAAAUGUGAAAAAAGGUUCAUCAAAAGUCAAAAGAUAUGCUCUAAAAUAUUCUUGGUAGCACUAUUCAUAAUAACUUCAAGCCAAAAACUAUUCAAAUACCCAUCAAUGGUAGAAUGGAUAGGUAAACUGGAUAUUCACCCAGUUGAAUGUUAUAGAGCAGGGGGAAUGAACGUCUACGAUUACGUGCCAUAAUAUGGACAAAUCUCAGAAACACAAUUUCAAAGACAGAAGAACAUACUUGUCUUGUGUCUGGCUUUUCUCACUCAAUAUUAUGUUUGUGAGAUUCCAUUUGUAUAAUGUAAUUGAAAAUCCACAAUAAAUCCUUUCAGAACAAAUGUACAACACUUUAGGCCAUGGGAAAAAAUGUGCCAGAGAAAACUAAGAAUUUCAAUGGGCUAUUAGGAGUCAACAUGUACAUCAAAGUUCAAAUUUGCUACAAUGACAUACAUUCAUUUUACCUUGAAAUCUUUAUAAUAGUUUCUCGUUAUAAAACCUAUGUGCAUGCCCAUAUAUGUAUGCAUUCUAUAUAUGUAUACAUUAGACAUGUAUACAUAUGUGUGUGUGUAUAUAUAUGUAUAUGGAGAUAUACACAGAUCUUAUCACUUUACAAUAGAGCUAUGCCUGGACAAAACCAUUGUAAGUUAAAAAUACCAUAAGUUGAAAAUGUAUUUAGUAUACCUAACCUAGCUUUAACCUAACUUAAAUGUGCUCUGAACACUUAGAUUAGCCUACAGUUGGGCAAAAUCAUAGAACACACAUCCUAUUAUAUAAUAAACUAUUGAUUAUCUCAUGUAAUUUAUUGAAUACUGUACUGAUGGUGUACAAAAAAACAGAAUGACUGUAAACUCUUGUGAUUACAUGGAUGACUGGGAUCUGUGGCUGUUGCUGCUCCACAUCCCAAGAGAGUGUUCUAGGGCAUAUCACUAGCCCAGGGAAAGGUAAAACUUCAAAGUAUGGUUUCUAGUGAAUGUAUCACUUUCACACCAUCAUAAAGCUGCAAAGUCAUAAAUCAAACCAUCCUAAGUUGGUCUGGGGACCAUCUACAUUCUAAAGCUUUUCUGUGGCAAAAACAGCUAUAUGUCUACCAAAGUAUUGUCUUCCCUUUCCAUAGUAAGAACUAUUGCUGAGAAGUGGCCACUUAGCCAGGGACUCUCUUUACUAGACCCUCAACUCUUCUCUCCUCAGGUGAGAUAAAAUGACUACUUCUAGCCAAUGGAACAUGAGCAUAAAGGAUGUUUUGGUUAAGAACAAGCACACUUUCUUCACAUUACCCUCUUCCCUCCAUUUGCCAACAGGAUCCAGAAAAUCCAGACUAAAACUCCAAGAUAUUAUUUGAUGAACAAAUCAUAAGGUGGACAAAGCAUGAGUCUCUGAAUAUCCACACAGGAGGCUGCCCAUCUACCAGAAUCAUCCACAUUGACUGAACUUUUACAUGAGCCAAAAAUAACCUAUUAAGUCUGAAAUUUGGAGGUUUGUUUGGUAGCAAAUUAGUUUAAUAUAGUGUUUUGAGUUUUCUUUAAUGCUGCCUUGACCCAGACUUGAGACCAUGCCUAAAGGCUAGUCAGUUUCCCUUUUUGAAGUUAAGACCACACUCUAACCAUUUCUCUUAUCGGCGCUCACACACCAGCCUACUAAGCUCCUGCCCUCAUCAUCCUCAGGCCAUCUACAGUCUUUGUGGCCCUGGAGCCCACAAAAUCAUCCAAAUUAGCCAAUCUAUAAGAAGACUAAGAAACCUAGAUAACUCUAUUCUUCUUGUACAUAAUGUGCCCUCUAUAGCUCCAGCUUGCUCUUCUCCUGUCCCAGGUGCAACUCUCUUUGUGACCCUGCCUCAAAGCCACCUCUUACUUGAUUAAAGAUAUAAGUCACAAAGAUUUCUGCCUUUCAUCUAUCCAAGUAUUGUGUCCCACCAUCAAAAGAAUCUUAAAUCUUAUAAAAUAUGAAUUCAGGGCUAUCUUAAUUAAAAUAUAUCCCACACUUCUUUCUGUAAAAUACGUUUAGCAUUCAAAGAUUUAAUAUUUGGGGGGGGGGGGUUCUCCCAAGAAUACCAAAGGUUCAUUACAAGUAGUAGUUUGUAUAUUUGCUGAAACACAAAUUUGAAUAACUUCAAGGAUGGUUGAAUACACACGCUAUUUAACUAGCAAUUGGGUUUAUGGAGUUGCCCAGUAUCUGCAUUUCAAUGUGGUUUUGUUCUUGCCUUAUUAACUACCUUUGCAGAAAAUAUAGUAAAGUGCCAAAAUCUGUAUUUCUUUGUGAAAAACAAUCAUUGAGUGAAGGAUAAACUUCAGUGAAAUCUGAGAGGGUUGAGGGCAGCCCGGGUGGCUCAG